rnacentral:rRNA from 1 species
UCGGGAAUUUUGGGCAAUGGGGGAAACCCUGACCCAGCAACGCCGCGUGUGUGAUGAAGGCCUUAGGGUUGUAAAAUCCUUUCGCCGAGGACGAUAAUGACGGUACUCGGAGAAGAAGCUCCGGCUAACUUCGUGCCAGCAGCCGCGGUAAUACGAAGGGGGCUAGCGUUGUUCGGAUUUACUGGGCGUAAAGCGCGUGUAGGCGGGUCGUUAAGUUGGGGGUGAAAUCCCGAGGCUCAACCUCGGAACUGCCUUCAAAACUGGCGACCUGGACCUAAGUAGAGGCAAGUGGAAUUGCGAGUGUAGAGGUGAAAUUCGUAGAUAUUCGCAGGAACGCCAGUGGCGAAGGCGACUUGCUGGACUUAUGGUGACGCUGAGACGCGAAAGCGUGGGGAGCAAACAGGAUUAGAUACCCGGGUAGUCCCUGAGCGGGCUGGCAAGGCGCAU